GCAGCCCCUGGGUCUGUGCAGUUACCAGCCAGUCCCUGAGAACUUUCCCCUCCAGCACCAGGGAAAAUGGGAUUUUUUCUCCUUGUAAUUUUCGCUGUAGCAGCUUUGGAAGGUGCCCGGUCUCAGGUGCAGCUGGUGGAGUCCGGAGGGGAUGUGAAAAAGCCCGGAGACUCUCUCCGCCUCUCCUGCAAAGCCUCCGGGUCCACCUUCAGCAGCUACAAUAUCAACUGGGUCCGACAGGCUCCCGGGAAGGGGCUGGAGUGGGUUUCACGCAUUUACACUGAUGGGAGCCAACAGUUUUACGCAGACUCAGUGAAAGGCCGAUUCACCAUCUCCAGAGACAACUCCAACAACCUGCUGUAUCUGCAACUGACCGGCCUGAAGCCCGAGGACACCGCCCGGUAUCACUGUGCGGGAGACACACUCCGACCAUUCCCACCAGCUGAGGAGCUGCCCCCAAAGGUGGUUCUCAGCUACACCAGCGCGUGUGACACGGGCCCGGGACUAUCUCCGCCACCCGAGGCCCGGAUCCUGCUCUCAUGA